AAUACAGAGGUCCCAAGCGUUGUUCGGAUUCACUGGGCGUAAAGGGUGCGUAGGCGGUCGGGUAAGUCUGACGUGAAAUCUCCAAGCUCAACUUGGAAAUGGCGUCGGAUACUAUUCGGCUUGAGGAGUGGAGGGGAGACUGGAAUUCUCGGUGUAGCAGUGAAAUGCGUAGAUAUCGAGAGGAACACCAGUGGCGAAGGCGAGUCUCUGGACACUUCCUGACGCUGAGGCACGAAAGCCAGGGGAGCAAACGG
rnacentral:rRNA from 1 species